GACGAACGCUGGCGGCGUGCUUAACACAUGCAAGUCGAACGGAAAGGCCCUGCUUGCAGGGUACUCGAGUGGCGAACGGGUGUGUAACACGUGGGUGAUCUGUCCUGCACUUCGGGGUAAGCCUGGGAAACUGGGUGUAAUACCGGAGAGGAGCCAUUUUUCGUGUGAUGGUUGGAAAGAUUUUUCGGUGGGGGAUGAGCUCGCGGCCUAUCAGCUUGUUGGGGGGGUAAGGGCUUCCAAAGGGGGCGAGGGGUAGCCGGCCUGCGGGGGUGGCGGGCCAAAUGGGGAAUGAUAGAAGGCCAGGACCCAUACGGGAGCCAGCAGUGGGAAAUUUUGCACAAGGGGCGGAAGCCGGAUGCAGCACCGCCGGGGGGGGGAUGACGGCCUGCGGGUUGUAAACCGCUUCCGCCUGUGACGAAGCGUGAGUGACGGUACUGGGUAAAGAAGCACCGGCUAACUACGUG
rnacentral:rRNA from 1 species